GAUCGGAAAUCCCGCCGUCCCGAGAUGACCGCCACGUCUCCAUGUGCCGCGCGUCCUCGGCUUCGGGGCUCCCGUGUGCGCGGGCACGUGGUGACCUUUCCACGGACGGACCGCGCUGCAGGAGGCCGAGUGCGGAGGCUCGUGUGUCCGGCGCCAGGGGUCCUGAAAGACGACCUUGGCCUCCCCCUCCCGGUCACCUCAAACUCAUCCUUCAGCUGGUAUUUUUGAAGACAUGAUUCAGGUUCGGAUUAAACCUACGAAAAGUUGUCCAGGUCAGGGCCUGAAUAUCUUCCAGUGGUCUGUCUGAUUAGGAGCCUGCCACAUACGUUCAGUGGUCUGAAAAGACAGGAGAAGUUUUACAUUGGAGAAAUGGAAUGCUGGGAGCAGAAAGUUCUACGUCUGUUGGGGUAACAGCUGUGGUUGCAGCUAGCAAGGGACAAGGGUCCCCUGUAGCCAGUCCCUAUGUGACAAUAAAUGUGGCUUUUUUGCCCCGUGUGACAAUUUUGGCUGAA